AAAAUUUCAUCAAGAGACUUAAAUUUUUAACUUCAAGCCCACCUAAACUUCUCAGGUUGAGAGUUUAGCCAUUCCCCAUUCUCAGCUGCAGGGAUAAGAGAAACCUGUGUCAUCUGAGUAAAACUCACCUGUGCACUCUCCCUGAUGCAGUCCCCCUAAGCAAGCCAGUGCUUUCCCAGCUGGUGAGAUGCUGUGUGUGCACCAAGGGAAACCUCAGGAGCUGCAGAGAGGAUCUACUGCUUGGAGCAGACACAGAAACCCUGACAGCUCAGCUGGUAUUUAUCUAGAGGAAGCCAGGAAGCACAACAACAAAUAUUUGCCUGGAAGGAAAGCUGCUUUGCUGUGUCUUGGCUCUUCUGUGCCAUUCCACCUGUAGGGAGAAGAAAAAAAGAGCAAUGGUGUUACAAAGCUGCAUGUUGUUUGUGGGAGGUUGUUUCCUCAGGCUCAUAGUUACAAUGGAAGAAGAGAUGACAACCUUCUAAAAAAAACCCAGAAGGGGAAAAGAGGCACAAGGCCUGUCACUUUGUGCUGCAAAAUCUCCAUCAGACAGCAAACUCAGCCUGGGACCAGGGAGACCCAGGACAUUCAGCUAGGAUGGUGCCCCUGGGAGAAGCAGUCCUGGUGCCCUAGGGGAGCAAGCAUGCCCACAGGGCCCCUCAAAGGCUGGUGAAAAUUUACUGAUAAAUGCAGCCUCAAGGCUUCUGAUAAACAUUUGUAUCCCUCUGUUCUAUCCCUGUUUGAAAUAUACUUGGUUUUAUGUUUUCCUUGGCAGGGAAGGUAUAACCUUGGGAAUAUACAUUAAAGUUUUAGCAUGUGAAAAAACAUUCUGGCUAUAGCUUUGUAAAUCCUGCCUUUGCUGUGUGCAGCCUUCACAGAGAGAGUAACAUCAUUUUGCUGGGGGUUUAUUCUGAGGUCCAAGAUUACACAGGUAUUCAGGAUGGAAGUCAGCAUGUCUUUGAGGAUUUAUACAUUAGAGAUGGUGAAACACCACCAAGCACACGAGUUAACUCAAAUCUCAGACAUGCCAGAAUAAAUGGAUUUCUCCCUGAAAACAGGGUACACAGUAGCAUGGUGUAAACAUUAGCUUUGUCCUGUAUUCUUUGUCCCUAUCAUGUAAAUGCCAUGUAAUAUGUAAACUAAGUUACUAAUAUGAAACUAUGCCAACAUCAUGUAAACUAAGCUGCACAAAGCCUAGUUUAUUGAGAGUGAAGUACUGAUUCCUCAGCGUUCAGGAGUAGCUGACUUGGAAUCAGCUUUCCCAGAUACAGGAAAAAAAAAAUCACCCUUCACAAAAUCACAGAUACAGGUGUCACUUUUAAAUUCAUGGAUUUCCCAUAGAAUGGCAUUGUCGGAUUGGAAAUAGCUCAGAGUAGUUUCAGUGAAACUUGAUUAAAACAAAAAGAUGGU